CCGAUGAUGAAAGCGGCCGGGGCCCCAGCCAGCACCUCGGGUCUGGGCCGUAAAUCCCGGCUUCUGUCGUUUGCAUUCAUUCUUGUAAAACCUCAGCCUCAGAAGGACAGCGGGAACCACAAUAGCUCGGUGAGGAUGUGAGCAAUGAUAUUAGGGAUGAAAAAGAUACAGUCCCGGUCUGUGAGGGACCGGGGUGGGCAGGGAACCGAAUGCCUGGAAUACAAAAGCGUCAGCAGAGCUCGGGGCCAGACGCAGACGUGUGAUGGGAGAGACCACAUCCAAUUGCACCGAGACAUCUUAAUCCGAGCUCAUUUCUCUCCUGCGGACUAGAGCCUGGACCGUGCCCCACACAUGCCCUGGGUCUCCCUGGCGCCUCUGACCUGCGGCUCCUUCCAGACGGCUGGAGACUUCUCCCCCAGGGACACCUGCGGGUGUGAACAGUCCAUUUCAGGUCUCGACGGCUUUCGGAGUCGCUGGCUGCUCCUGGGGAGUUGCUCUGCCUCCUGCCUCGGUCGUCCCGGCCUGCGCCGGCUGGGAGCCUCUGCAAAGCUAAGUUACCCGCCUUUUGUUGCGAUGCGGGCCCCGGAGGACUGAAAUCGAACGCGUGGCUUCUGUGGAGGGAGAGGGAGAGAGGCGGCUAAUGAGCGGCUGUGCACAUCCCAAGUCUUGGGGGUUAAUUCCCAAAGAGCCGGAUCAGAAACACGCCUAAAAGCCCAGUUUGAUAAAUUUCCAGGACGCCAACCCCGAGUGGAGCUAGGAGAGCUUGAAA